UCUCAUCUCAAUGUGGAUUGGCUGUUCUCCACCUGUCUUCAAACUCUCAAACUCAGGAAGUGAUAACAAGGAGAGCCAGCUGCGGGCUGGGCUGGCAGUGAGGAGGAAGUCAUGGGGUCUGAGAAAGGGAAAUUUGAAGCCGGAAAAUAGAAACUUCAGGUGGGGCUUCUCUUCAAAUGCAGUUUCUGCCUUCUUUCUUUUUGCAAACUUACCCUGUGUCUGCCCGUGGACAUGGGCAGUGACAGCGGAUGCCUGACGGCGUGGAGGCCCAGACCCUUGUCCCGAGGGGCUCAGGACCUUGCCCUGGGCUAACUGGCAGAACGGAAGAGAAUGGUAUUUCUUGCACACCCAGAUGCUAUGGAACCAGAGAAUGCUGGAGCUGAAGGGAAGCUAGCUCAAUCCGACCUUUGCAAGAGAGGGAGGCCAAGACCCUGGAGGUCAGCUGAGCCCCCUGACCCCGUCAUGCCUUAGCGGUGCAGGCCUUGGUUCAGAAUGUUGGACACAGAUGCUGCAAGCCAUUGUUAGGUGCCAUAUGAGCCGGCCCACGAGCCACAGGCCGGCUCCACACACCCCUCCCUGCUCCCGGUGCUCAGCGAGGACAAAGGUGAAGCCGAGGGCAGCGGCCAGCUGGCCCGGAGCAUGGUCUCCUUUGGCUCUUCCAGGGGCAGCCCGCGGCGGCGAAGAGAGCAGAGGGACCCGGGCCAGAUCCUGGACCACAACCUGGGCUGACGGCACCUGGCAGGGCCGUAGCGAAGACAACCAGGGGCCGCGGAGAAGAUGCCUGCGUGGGGCAGGCCCUGGGGGCUGAGAGCUGUGACGGCUUUAGUGCAAAGUGAAGGGACUCGUUUUACAGAUGGGGAAACUGAGCCCCAAGGGCAGGCUUGACCGAGGUCACACAGUCACAGGCAGGGAUUCGGGCUCUCCAGGGACUCUCAUCGGCACCAUCUCACCGGUGUUCACAGUCACUCUGAACCAUCCUGUGGACAAAUUUCCUCUCUGAGCCUCAGUUUCCUCAUUCAUGAAUGGGAGUCAUUAAUACCCGUCUGAUGGAGCAAUUAUGGGGAUCACACGAGACAUAACCGCGGAGCGGACAGCCCCAGGCCUGCAGAACGUGGUCCUCCCAGUGCUGAACGGCACCGUCCAGCCUGCUGCGUGGCUUCAUCAAGAAUCGUGUCCACGCAGAGGCCUCCAGUGAUGCCUGCAGCCACACCGUCC
rnacentral:lncRNA from 1 species